rnacentral:rRNA from 1 species
AUUGAACGCUGGCGGCAUGCCUUACACAUGCAAGUCGAACGGUAACAGGUCUUCGGAUGCUGACGAGUGGCGAACGGGUGAGUAAUGCAUCGGAACGUGCCUAGUAGUGGGGGAUAACUACUCGAAAGAGUGGCUAAUACCGCAUGAGAUCUACGGAUGAAAGCAGGGGAUCGCAAGACCUUGUGCUACUAGAGCGGCCGAUGGCAGAUUAGGUAGUUGGUGGGAUAAAAGCUUACCAAGCCGACGAUCUGCAGCUGGUCUGAGAGGACGAUCAGCCACACUGGGACUGAGACACGGCCCAGACUCCUACGGGAGGCAGCAGUGGGGAAUUUUGGACAAUGGGCGCAAGCCUGAUCCAGCAAUGCCGCGUGCAGGAUGAAGGCCUUCGGGUUGUAAACUGCUUUUGUACGGAACGAAAAGCCCUGGGUUAAUACCCUGGGGUCAUGACGGUACCGUAAGAAUAAGCACCGGCUAACUACGUGCCAGCAGCCGCGGUAACAC